UGUGUUAUAUAACACAAAGAGUUCUUUUCUUUAUUUUGGAUCAGAUCCUUUCCCUGAACGCCAAGUUUACUGGAAGUUCCCAUGAUGCGUAUGUCAUUAGACAAUCAGGGAUAUGGCACAGAUUAAGAUCAAGUCAACGAGCAGACAUGUGGUUAUUGGGUGAGUUGUUGCACAUAUUUUGAUCAACAUUUUGUAUAUUUUUCAAAAUUGACUAUUUCUAAUUUUUGAUUUUCCUCAAACAGGAGACCGUGGAUAUCCUUGCACCCCCUGGCUCAUGACUCCUUACCGUAAUCCCAGGCCAGGACCACAGACGGCAUUUAACUCCGCGCUUACUGCCACUAGGCAGCUGGUGGAGCGCACAAUUGGGGUCCUUAAAGGGCGGUUUCGUGUGCUCCACCGCACUGGUGGCGACAUCAUGUAUUCGCCGGAGAUGGCAAGUAAAAUAGUGGUCCUGUGCGCUAUACUCCACAAUAUCGCGGUAAGGAGUAGCGUAGAGCUUCCUCAGACAGAGGAAUUGCCUGAUGAGGAGCCAGGGGUUGUCCGACACUUCGGUGGGGGGAGUGUUACAAGGAGGGGGAGCCAAGUCAGGGCAAGCAUUGUUGCUGAAUUUUUCAGCUGAAAGACCACACAAACUGAGGACGACCACAACGGCAAGCACCACAUGAUGCACCAGCUCAGCACCCUUCCCCUUCUCACUCCCCCUCCACUUCCCAGUCCCCCUCCCCUUCUCACUCCCCCUCCCCUUCUCACUCCCCCUCCCCUUCUCACUCCCCCUCAGCUUCCCAAUCCCCCUCAGCUUCCCAAUCCACCUCAGCUUCCCAAUCACCCUCAGCUUCCCAGGCCCCCUCAGCUUCCCAGGACCACUCCACUUUCCACUCCCCUUCUCAGCCAACCUCUCCUUCUCUUUGUGUGACCCCUUCUCCUCCUUCCCAUACCCCUUCUCCUUCUACUUCCAACUCACCUUCUCAGCCCCCCUCACCCUCUAUUGGCCUAACAUUUUCACCGCCCCCCUCGCCCUCUCAAUCAGACCCACCCUCUGAAAUUACAUCCCCAAUCCAACCUCCUUCCCCCAUCCAGCCUCCUUCCCCCAUCAAGCCUCCUUCCCCCAUCCAGCCUCCUUCCCCCAUCCAGCCUCCUUCCCCAAUCUCUCCUCCUUCCCCCAUCCAGCCGCCUUCCCCACCGAGUGAAUGGGCAGAGGAAGCCCCUGAAGCCAGUUCAGGGAGUCUUCAUGUUGCCGAGGAAAAUGUUGCAGUUGGAGUUCCUCCAAGUUUGGGAGCCAUUCUUUCCACCAUGCGCCAACACCUGCAAGGAUUGAUACAUUGUGUUGAUCAAUUG